rnacentral:rRNA from 1 species
UACGUAGGGUGCAAGCGUUGUCCGGAAUUAUUGGGCGUAAAGCGUGCGUAGUCGGUUAUCUAAGUCGGGUGUGAAAUCCCCGGGCUCAACCUGGGAAUUGCAUUCGAUACUGGAUAGCUAGAGUUCGGCAGAGGGAAGCGGAAUUUCCGGUGUAGCGGUGAAAUGCGUAGAUAUCGGAAGGAACAUCAGUGGCGAAAGCGGCUUCCUGGACCAGAACUGACGAUCAGGCACGAAAGCGUGGGGAGCAAACAGGG